GAGGGGUUGCAAGAAUGGUAUAGAACUAUCUUGCAGGAUCAUUUGUCAUAGCUAGACAAGAGCACACUCUUGGUACAAUGUUACAGAAUUGGUUGAAGGUUAAUGCUAAAAAAAAAAAAUCGAUGAAGUAAGUGAAAUAUCAUUAAAAGGCGAGGAUUACAAAAGAGGGAAGAUGUUAGCUCCAAUACAAGGUUAGUACUCAAAAUUAUCCUCAUAGAAGUCUGUGUCAAGUCACAAAAUUUUCACUUGUUGGGAGUUGUGGAAAGCAAUGUGCUCUGCUAGAUACGGAAGAUUAAAAUGCUCUAUUUCAAGGAUCAUUCAUGAAGCUAAUUUCCACUUGAAAUAUUCUUAAAUACGAGCUAGCCAAGGAUAAAGAUUUGGUGGUUUUGGAAUAAAAGUGAAAUAUAAGUAUGCGAACCUAAGCUCACUAACAAACCAAUUAUAUGGGAGAGAGCAAUCAAAUAAUAUGAUUUAACUAAACAUCAAUGGCAGUGGUGACGCAAUAUGAGUUCCGAGAUUGGAGGAAUUGUUAGGAACAAAAAAUAGAGAAUUGGUCAUGGCUUUUGCUAAACCUCAUGCAAUUUCAAGUAGCUUCAUUUGGUAUAUCCUGGUGUGUUAAUUGUGGUCUAAAUAACCUAGUACCUAGGUUAGUCUUGAUCACAAGAGAAACUGUAAAAAGAGUACAUUAUUGAUACACUUAGAAUCUUCUUGAAAGCACACUAGAACAAUCUAACCAACUUGUAAGGAUUGAGUAAUAGGCCAACCUACCGUCACUCUCUUCCUUUAUCCAGAUUUACCAAAGCACCAAAGAUAAGGAAGUUAAGGCAGUUCACAUCAAGCCACCUUGAGGAACGUCAUGUGAUGAUCAGGAUACAAGAAACGACGAGGGGGAGGGGGAGAAUUAUCCAACUCUAGUAUUUUACGAGUGUUCUUUUCAGGAAAUGUUUUCCAAUGAGCAAAAAUACUUUGGGAAACAUUUCUUAAGCAUUGAUAAAAAGGUCCAAAUAUUGGAUUGUGUUUUGCAUUGAAAUAUUUGAUGAAAUUUUGAAAUACCAAUAAUAAUGUCUAAGCGUUGGUUAGAACAAGUAAGUAGAAAUAUUCUCAGAGAAAAUUAGGUCCGCUCUUAAGUGAUGAUAGUCAUUUUCUAGGUUUCAAUUGGAAAGGAAUAAUAUUCUAUGACUAACAAUUUAUCACGUGGAUCGACUACGCGAAGCUCAGAUAGUGAAUCCCAACUAAUUUGGGAUCGAUUGGAUGAUUAAUGGAUUGGAAUUUGUAAAGAAGAGAAUGGAGACUUACAAGCUGACGAGAACGUAAAGCAGACAGAGAUUUGCGAGCUAAGAUGGCAGCCAUUAGAGAUGAAAAUGGGGCCUCUUCCUUCAGAACCAGAGCGAUCGAGCAAGAGCUGAAAAGCUAGUUUUGGGUUAAAACGUUGCGUUUUACUACUCUCUAAUACUGCCGCUUGUUUGGAUGGUUACCUUUAAAUAUAAUUUUAUUUUAAUU
rnacentral:lncRNA from 1 species